rnacentral:rRNA from 1 species
AGAGUUUGAUCCUGGCUCAGGAUGAACGCUGGCGGUAUGCGUAACACAUGCAAGUCGAACGAAGUUUUUCGGAACUUAGUGGCGGACGGGUGAGUAACGCGUGAGAAUCUGCCUUAAGGAUUGGGACAACAGUGGGAAACCGCUGCUAAUACCAAAUAUGCCUUUUAGUGAAACGGGUAAAACCGCCUUAAGAUGAGCUCGCGUCUGAUUAGCUAGUUGGUGUGGUAAGAGCGCACCAAGGCAACGAUCAGUAGCUGGUCUGAGAGGACGACCAGCCACACUGGGACUGAGACACGGCCCAGACUCCUACGGGAGGCAGCAGUGAGGAAUUUUCCGCAAUGGGCGAAAGCCUGACGGAGCAAUACCGCGUGAGGGAGGAAGGUUCUUGGAUUGUAAACCUCUUUUCUCAGAGAAGAAUAAUGACGGUAUCUGAGGAAUAAGCAUCGGCUAACUCCGUGCCAGCAGCCGCGGUAAUACGGAGGAUGCAAGCGUUAUCCGGAAUGAUUGGGCGUAAAGGGUCUGUAGGUGGUUGUUCAAGUCUGCUGUUAAAGCGUCUGGCUUAACCAGAUAAAGGCGGUGGAAACUGAACGACUAGAGUGCGGUAGGGGUAGAGGGAAUUCCCAGUGUAGCGGUGAAAUGCGUAGAUCUUGGGAAGAACACCUGUGGCGAAAGCGCUCUACUGGACCGCGACUGACACUCAUGGACGAAAGCUAGGGGAGCGAAUGGGAUUAGAUACCCCCGUAGUCC